UAGGGAAUCUUCGGCAAUGGACGAAAGUCUGACCGAGCAACGCCGCGUGAGUGAAGAAGGUUUUCGGAUCGUAAAACUCUGUUGUUAGAGAAGAACAAGGACGUUAGUAACUGAACGUCCCCUGACGGUAUCUAACCAGAAAGCCACGGCUAACUACGUGCCAGCAGCCGCGGUAAUACGUAGGUGGCAAGCGUUGUCCGGAUUUAUUGGGCGUAAAGCGAGCGCAGGCGGUUUCUUAAGUCUGAUGUGAAAGCCCCCGGCUCAACCGGGGAGGGUCAUUGGAAACUGGGAGACUUGAGUGCAGAAGAGGGGAGUGGAAUUCCAUGUGUAGCGGUGAAAUGCGUAGAGAUAUGGAGGAACACCAGUGGCGAAGGCGGCUCUCUGGUCUGUAACUGACGCUGAGGCUCGAAAGCGUGGGGAGCAAACAGG
rnacentral:rRNA from 1 species